UACGUAGGGGGCAAGCGUUAUCCGGAAUCACUGGGUGUAAAGGGAGCGUAGACGGCUGUGCAAGCCUGAAGUGAAAGGCGGGGGCCCAACCCCUGGACUGCUUUGGGAACUGUACGGCUGGAGUGCAGGAGAGGUAAGUGGAAUUCCUAGUGUAGCGGUGAAAUGCGUAGAUAUCGAGAGGAACACUCGUGGCGAAGGCGGGUUCCUGGACAUUAACUGACGCUGAGGCACGAAGGCCAGGGGAGCGAAAGGG
rnacentral:rRNA from 1 species